rnacentral:tRNA from 1 species
AGAGGUUUAGGAUAACACUAAACCAAGAGCCUUCAAAGCCCUAAAUAGGAGUUAAAAUCUCCUAACCUCUG